rnacentral:tRNA from 1 species
CGGGGCGUAGCUCAGCUUGGUAGAGCGCUUGCUUCGGGAGCAAGAGGCCGCAGGUUCAAAUCCUGUCGCCCCGA